rnacentral:rRNA from 1 species
CCCAGACUCCUACGGGAGGCAGCAGUGGGGGAUAUUGCACAAUGGGGGGAACCCUGAUGCAGCGACGCCGCGUGGGUGAAGGAGUGCUUCGGCAUGUAAAGCCCUAUCGGCAGGGAAGAAGCAAGACGGUACCUGACUAAGAAGCCCCGGCUAACUACGUGCCAGCAGCCGCGGUAAUACGUAGGGGGCAAGCGUUAUCCGGAUUUACUGGGUGUAAAGGGAGCGUAGACGGCGAUGCAAGCCAGAUGUGAAAGCCCGGGGCUCAACCCCGGGACUGCAUUUGGAACUGUGUGGCUGGAGUGUCGGAGAGGCAGGCGGAAUUCCUAGUGUAGCGGUGAAAUGCGUAGAUAUUAGGAGGAACACCAGUGGCGAAGGCGGCCUGCUGGACGAUGACUGACGUUGAGGCUCGAAAGCGUGGGGAGCAAACAGGAUUAGAUACCCCCGUA